CCACCUGGAUAAUUCAGGCUCAUCUCCCUAUUUUCAAGUCUGUAACCUACAUUCCAUCUACAAAGUUCCUUUUGCCAUACAAGCUAAAAAAUGUAUAGGAUCUAGGGAUUAGGGCACGGACAUCUUUGGAGAGCCAUUAUCCUGCCUACCACCGUGGGCAGAAUUGACGUCUGAGCCAUGCCAGAGAGCGCUUCAGGCAAAGGGAAUGGAAAGAACAAACCUUGGAGGCAGGAGACCACGUGGAAGGUGCAGUGUGUCCUCCCUACUCAGGGGACAUUUAGCUGUAAACUUCUCUGUGGCUUACACCUUUUUCUGCCUGCUUCCAUGGCUGCCUACCUGUGUGUCUGUGUGUCCCCUCAAACCCCUUCCAUAGUUUCAUUUCCUCUCUCUCGCUCUCUCUCUCACCCACACACACUCACACCCCUCCACACGCCCACCAUUCACACACCACAUACGCGCUCACGCUCACACCUUCACCUACUCACACACCACACACACACACCAGCAGUGGGGUGAAGACUUGGUCUACAGCCUUCUCCCUAGGGUAGAAACUUUCCUUCACACCUCAGCCCCUGUCCAGAGGUCA
rnacentral:lncRNA from 1 species